GAAUACCCGCUGAACUUAAGCAUAUCAUUUAGCGGAGGA
rnacentral:rRNA from 1 species